CGCGUAGGCGGCCAUGCAAGUCUGGAGUGAAAGUCCUCAUUUUAAGUGAGGAAUUGCUUUGGAAACUGCGUGGCUUGAGUGCAGGAGAGGUUAUCGGAAUUCUCGGUGUAGCGGUGAAAUGCGUAGAGAUCGGGAGGAACACCAGUGGCGAAGGCGGGUAACUGGACUGCAACUGACGCUGAGGCGCGAAAGUGUGGGGAGCAAACA
rnacentral:rRNA from 1 species